rnacentral:rRNA from 1 species
GAUGAAUGCUGGCGGCGCGCCUAACACAUGCAAGUCGAGCGGGGUUUUCGGACCUAGCGGCGGACGGGUGAGUAAUGCGUGGGAAGCUGCCCGAUAGAGGGGGAUACCAGUUGGAAACGACUGUUAAUACCGCAUAAUGUCUACGGACCAAAGUGUGGGACCUUCGGGCCACAUGCUAUCGGAUGCGCCUACGUGGGAUU